CGCCGCGUGAGUGAUGACGGCUCUUCGGGUCUGUAAACCUCUUUCAUCAGGGACGAAGCGCAGGUGACGGUACCUGCAGAAGAAGCACCGGCCAACUACGUGCCAGCAGCCGCGGUAAUACUUACGGUGCGAGCGUUGUCCGGAAUUACUGGGCGUAAAGAGUUCGUAGGCGGUUUGUCGCGUCGUCUGUGAAAACCCACCGCUCAACGGUGGGCCUGCAGGCGAUACGGGCAGACUUGAGUACUGCAGGGGAGACUGGAAUUCCUGGUGUAGCGGUGAAAUGCGCAGAUGUCAGGAGGAACACCGGUGGCGAAGGCGGGUCUCUGGGCAGUAACUGACGCUUAGGAACGAAAGCGUGGGUAGCAAACAGGAUUACAUACCCUGGUAGUCCACGCCGUAAACGGUGGGCGCUAGGUGUGGGUUCCUUCCACGGGAUCUGUGCCGUAUCUCACGCAUUAAGCGCCCCGCCUGGGGAGUACGGCCGCAAGGCUAAAACUCACAGGAAUUGACGGGGGCCCGCACAAGCGGCGGAGCAUGUGGAUUAAUUCGAUGCAACGCGAAGAACCUUACCUGGGUUUGACAUGUACUGGAAAGCCGUAGAGAUACGGCCCCCCUUG
rnacentral:rRNA from 1 species